GUGGAACUAUGGUCCCUGGGCUCGACGGGCUGAUGGACCUGGUUCGAGGGUCUGUAUCGAGUUCCACUUGGGCCUGAUACUCGAAGGUAUGGGCGGAAUGGCUCGAGUGGGAGACAGGUCUGGGAGUUUUCCAGGAUAUGCCCGCUCGAUUGCGGGGUUUGUUGUGGCUAUUGAACACUUGGGUGUCGGCGGGCAUGUCGCCUUCGGCAGUGUCGUCGCGCCUGGCUGGGCUGAGUUUUUUCUUUAAGCUGCAAGGGUGGGG